rnacentral:rRNA from 1 species
AUUAAACGCUGGCGGCAUGCCUUACACAUGCAAGUCGAACGGCAGCACGGGGCAACCUGGUGGCGAGUGGCGAACGGGUGAGUAAAGCAUCGGAACGUGCCCUGGAGUGGGGGAUAACGUAGCGAAAGUUACGCUAAUACCGCAUAUUCUGUGAGCAGGAAAGCAGGGGAUCGCAAGACCUUGCGCUCUGGGAGCGGCCGAUGUCGGAUUAGCUAGUUGGUGGGGUAAAGGCCUACCAAGGCGACGAUCCGUAGCGGGUCUGAGAGGAUGAUCCGCCACACUGGGACUGAGACACGGCCCAGACUCCUACGGGAGGCAGCAGUGGGGAAUUUUGGACAAUGGGCGGAAGCCUGAUCCAGCAACGCCGCGUGAGGGACGACGGCCUUCGGGUUGUAAACCUCUUUUAGUAGGGAAGAAGCGAAAGUGACGGUACCUGCAGAAAAAGCACCGGCUAACUACGUG